rnacentral:rRNA from 1 species
UGGGGAAUUGUUCACAAUGGGCGCAAGCCUGAUGACGCAACGCCGCGUGGGGGAUGAAGGUCUUCGGAUCGUAAACCCCUGUCGAAUGGGACGAAAGACUCGCGAGUGAAUACUUCGCGAGAGUGACGGUACCGUUAAAGGAAGCCACGGCUAACUCUGUGCCAGCAGCCGCGGUAAUACAGAGGUGGCAAGCGUUGUUCGGACUUACUGGGCGUAAAGGGUGCGUAGGCGGAAGGAUAAGUUAGUUGUGAAAGGCCUGGGCUUAACCUAGGAACUGCAAUUAAGACUGUCCAUCUAGAGUUGAGUAGAGGGGAGCGGAAUUUCCGGUGUAGCGGUGAAAUGCGUAGAUAUCGGAAGGAACAUCAGUUGCGAAGGCGGCUCUCUGGACUCAAACUGACGCUGAGGCACGAAAGCGUGGGUAGCGAACAGGAUUAGAUACCCACGUAGUCCCUGAGCGGGCUGGCAAGGCGCAU